rnacentral:rRNA from 1 species
GAUGAACGCUGGCGGCGUGCCUAAUACAUGCAAGUCGAGCGAACAGACGAGAGUGCUUGCACUCUCUGACGUUAGCGGCGGACGGGUGAGUAACACGUGGGUAACCUACCUAUAAGACUGGGAUAACUUCGGGAAACCGGAGCUAAUACCGGAUAAUAUUUAGCUUCGCAUGAAGCAAUAGUGAAAGACGGUUCUGCUGUCACUUAUAGAUGGACCCGCGGUGUAUUAGCUAGUUGGUGAGGUAACGGCUCACCAAGGCAACGAUACAUAGCCGACCUGAGAGGGUGAUCGGCCACACUGGGACUGAGACACGGCCCAGACUCCUACGGGAGGCAGCAGUAGGGAAUCUUCCGCAAUGGACGAAAGUCUGACGGAGCAAUGCCGCGUGAGUGAAGAAGGUUUUCAGAUCGUAAAACUCUGUUGUAAGGGAAGAACAAGUACGUUAGUAACUGAACGUACCUUGACGGUACCUUACCAGAAAGCCACGGCUAACUACGU